CAGAACAAGUCAAUAACUACUGUCCACUACUCCCAAAAGAUUUCUGCAAUACGCUACAUGUGAAACUUCCUCCUUAUCCUAUAUUUGAUUCUCUAAGCCAUGAAAGUUUUUAUGAAGCAGCACAAAACCAAUAAAAAGGUUUGUGCAUCAAAACCCAAUAUCUGUCCACUACUAUCAAAAG